AGAGCUUCCGCAUAAAAC
rnacentral:snRNA from 1 species